UAUAAUUUUAUUAUCAUUAUUAAAAUAUUUUUAUAAUGGUAUAUAAAUUUUAGUUGGGGUGAUUAAGGAAUAAAAAGUAUUAACUUCCUUAGAUUAAAUAUUAUUUGAUUAAGUAACCAAUAUAUUAUUGCUUUUAUUAUAGUUACCAU
rnacentral:rRNA from 1 species